ensembl:lncRNA
ACCGGAAGGGUGGGGGGUGUUAAACCUUAAGUGCAAAAAACAAUAAAUAAGGACGCUUGUCCUUCAGGCUUUAUACCGACGAGGUCACGCCUGAAGCCUCCGCUCGCCCAAAGGUUUCACCACCAGUUCUGGACCCGCACGUCCACUUCAUCACGCGCCUUCUAACACAGGAAAAUUAAUUUAUGUAGAAAUGAAAGUGAACCUGUGAUUCUGUACAUCGGACACAGAUCAAAAGAACAACAAUUACAACAAAGAACCUCCGAGUGUGGGCCGGCUGUGCACUCAGCAACAAUGAGCUUUCUGGCAACGUCACUAAAAUGGGUCCAGAAGUUCAACACUUUCAUCCAGAAUCUCACCAAUUCUUCUCUCAAAGGGAAGUAAUGUAAAUCUUUUAAAUCGUUAUUCGCUGGGGCACAAUGCCUCGCAAAACUAUGGCAUCACGGUGAAGGAAUUUUGAAGUAAUUCAUGUCAUGUUAUGCGGGGUGAAGAUCGGACGGGUCGCCUCCAUCCCGGAGUUUUGAACUUUUGGUGAGCGGCCUGCAGGCCCCGAUAGAGCUCUUGAUGUAUUAUCUGAAAUGUUGGGAUGAAGACAUUCAGCAAAGGGUAAAG